AUUCAGCUGACGAGUUCUGAAUAGGACGAAAUGCGCGUUCUAGAU
rfam:Schistosoma mansoni strain Puerto Rico chromosome 3, complete genome